ACGCGUCUUGUCGGCCACGGUCUCUCCCUCAGAGACGCGCGCCUGGGCCUGACGCGUCUCCGGAAUGUCCAGCAACAAUUUGUCAAACAAAUUUCUGCAGACGUUGUUGCUGGACAUUCUGUUGCUUACACCCAGAAUAAACCUCACGUGCCGCAAUAUAAUUAAAAAGGUUACUCUUAACCUUACAAGCAGUACUCAACAUCCGCCUGGAACACAGAAGUUCCUCCAGUAGCCAGUAGAGACGCAGUGAAGAAAUACUCGCCCUGACUAACUAACGCACUUUACUGGAAAAUGAUCCGGCGACCUACUGCUCAUUUAUUGUUAGUUUUGAAUCGGCCCAAAGUACUGCUGACAUUAUAUAUUUUUAUUGAAAUGAUUCUUAAUUUUGUGUUCUGAAUUGUAUUUGUGUGGUGUCAGCAGUAUUCGUGCAUUCUACUCCUGUUUAAUUUAUUCCCGGACUGCAGCGGCAUUAUGUGAACAACACUAGUCCUGGAAGUUGGCUUUAGGAAUGGAAACUACUAAAUAUGGAAGUCAAUAGCUUUGUUGCUCCACCGGGGCAAUUCUUGUGCGCUCGGUCCACACCGAAUGCACGCCCUUGCACCGGGAGAUGUUUGCCGCGGUCCUAGGCACAGUUCAGUGUGUAUUCCUCUUGGUUGUAAAUUCACAUUGAGACCUAUAAGGGCUCGCGAACAUUUCCCUUCCUUCUUCCCUCUAUCUAUCCUAUAGAAGGCUUUUGUCCUUACCUCACCUCCUCUACACAAAUUCCCUACCAACUCUCCUCCCAGCUUUCCCCAUCUGUGCAUCACAAUUUGCAUCAUUACGAGCUACGUAUACAAAGCGGAACCUCACCGUAUUAUUAAUGUUUUAAUGGAUUAAUAUAAUUUGCAGUCUCUGUUUUAUUAUUCACUUGAGUAAAUAGUAAACAUAUUAGAUGUUCCGACAAGCACCGGAUCUUGCUUCUUAAUGUUUAACCGCGUAACAACAAUGUAAUCAUUUGAAAAAAUAAAUGCUUCAGGUAAA